rnacentral:rRNA from 1 species
CAGUCGCCGCGGUAAUACAGAGGGUGCGAGCGUUAAUCGGAUUUACUGGGCGUAAAGCGUGCGUAGGCGGUGAGUUAAGUCUGCUGUGAAAUCCCCGGGCUCAACCUGGGAAUGGCAGUGGAUACUGGCUCGCUAGAGUGUGUCAGAGGAUGGUGGAAUUCCCGGUGUAGCGGUGAAAUGCGUAGAGAUCGGGAGGAACAUCAGUGGCGAAGGCGGCCAUCUGGGACAACACUGACGCUGAGGCACGAAAGCGUGGGGAGCAAACAGGAUUAGAUACCCCAGUAGUCCCUGUCUCUUAUAC